CGAGAAUCUUCGGCAAUGGGCGCAAGCCUGACCGAGCGACACCGCGUGCGGGAUGAAGGCCUUCGGGUUGUAAACCGCUGUCGUAGGGGAGGAAGGGUCCGUGAAGAACGGAACUUGACCGAUCCUAGGAGGCAGGGCCGGCUACUCUCGUGCCAGCAGCCGCGGUAAUACGAGAGGCCCAAACGUUAUUCGGAUUUACUGGGCUUAAAGAGUUCGUAGGCGGCUUGGAAAGUGGGGUGUGAAAGCCCUCGGCUCAACCGAGGAAUUGCGCUCCAAACUACCGAGCUUGAGGAAGCUAGAGGUGAGCAGAACUGAUGGUGGAGCGGUGAAAUGCGUUGAUAUCAUCAGGAAUACCGGAGGCGAAGGCGGCUCACUGGGACUUUUCUGACGCUGAGGAACGAAAGCUAGGGGAGCAAA
rnacentral:rRNA from 1 species